rnacentral:lncRNA from 1 species
CGCACUGGAAACAAAAGCGCGCAGAGACCUCUGUCUGCGGAGGUGAACUCCAGCAAAUACGUUUAGGAGGAAAGUAACAAUUAUUUUACUAACUCGAAUAGUAACAGUGGUAUCCCAUGUUAAAUGGUUAUACUUUCUUACGUUGGUUGUUAUAAUUUGAAGAUUCAAGAAAAGCGUAUAGCAAGCAUAUGGGCCAUACACAUUUGUACAGGGCCAAAUAUUCAGUAAAGGACAACAUUAUUUUUGACCAUCAGAUGACAAGAUACGGUAUCAACUGGACAUAGGCUACAGUAUAAGAGCUCAUCCCUCCAAACCGUGGGCCAGGUCAGUGAUGGGACAGAGGCCUGCGGGUCAUCAGCCCCAGCCUCCCUAUGGAGGCAGAACCAGACAGGAAACUAGCCUUUAAACGGACCCCUCCCUCCUCCACCGAAGGUCCUGGCAGAGUUGUGCAGACUCAGGACAAUGGAGCUUUGGAGGAAUACGCAGAUUUAAAGAGGAGUCCGUAAUUAGCUUUCUAAUGAUCAUGAUCUUUUCCUCAAAGAAGUUCAUUAAUUUAUUAUUGCUGAAGUGAAGGUGUGUUUCUGAGCAGUCCAAGCCUGAAACUUCUGAGAAAGAUGGUGAGGUCACUGGGAGUCAAAAAGGCACGGUGCUGCCAUCAAGUACGUGACUUAGGCAACCUUUGUGAACAUUAAACAAAGAAAGAACUGAGGUUGAGGCAGGGGGAGCAGCAAGUAAGUACAUGUGGUCCUACUUCUCUGGAUUUCUCAGUCUGGCAGGGUUUAGUGGACUAUCAUCAGAUCAGUACAUCAGAAUGAGAUUGGAC